CAAGCUCGCACUUCUGUGAGGCCCUGGGCUCGGCUGCGAGCCGGAGGUGCGGGGAGCAGCCAAGGUUGAACCAUCCCGCCUGGGAGGCUGGGGAAGGAGGGUCUCUCCCUGAGUCACUGACCCCACGAACAGGAAGAGGGGCUCCACAGCCCCAGGACGUCUCCAGCGAGGGGGUCCUGGCUCCUGGCCCAGGUGAGGGUGAGGGGAUGGGCGCGUGAUUGAAGUGGUCUUUGGGCUUUUCUUACAGGCAGUUGGGGAGGGGCUUGAGGCUCAGAGGGGAACAGAGGGAGCCCAGCCUGAACCCAGCUCUCCUGCUCAGGACUCUGGCCCCUCCUGGCUGGUGUUAGGCCUACCUGCUGAAAAGCAUCCAGGCCUCAAAGGGCCAGGCAGCUGGGUGGAGCUCCUCCAGGGCAAAGUGCUGGGGUGGCCAAGUCAGUCCAAGCCAAAGAAUAGGUCAGUUUUCCAAGUGGUGGUCACAGCUGGGCAUCUACUUCUCAGGUGGGGCUGGGAAGAGCCUUGGCCUCAGGACCCCAGAGGGCCACACUCCUGGGGUGGGCCUGGGACUCAGCCAGAAUUCAUACCGGGACUCGAACCCAUCCGCACCUCAGAUUUGGACUUGAACCCAUGAUCCCUAACUUAGGAGGGGGCUCGAACCAAAUGUUUUUUUUUUUUAAUUUUUUUAGGGCCACACCUGUGGCAUAUGGAAGUUCCCAGGCUAGGGGUUGAAUCAGAGCUGUAGCUGCCAGCCUACACCAUAACCACAGCAACACAGGAUCCAAGCCAUGUCUGCAACCUACACCACAGCCCAUGGCAAUGCCAGAUCUUUAACCCACUGAGCAAGGCCAGGGAUCGAACCUGUGUCCACAUGGAUGUUAGAUUUGUUGAACCAACUGUCGUUUAAUUGAAAUCAUUCACCUGGUGUCAGGACUUACUGAAGCUCAGGUUCUUUUGAUUCUUCACAGAAGGAAUUCAGCGUGAGGCAAAGCAGCAGGCAAAGAGUGAGUUUAUUAGUAUAGGAUGCUUGUGAGAAAUACAAGCAGGCUGGCCAGGGGAUGCAGCUGUCUCAAGAACAAAGAGAGCUACAUUUUAAUAAAGAAAAAGUGGGGAGGGGAGAAGACCACCUUUUUCCUCAUUUUUAGGUAGAAAUAAGGCUCACAUCGUUACUUCCUCUUUUGACUCUGAUUUAAUCAGGACUGUCAUGGUGCUCUUUAAAUCAUAUGUAUAUUGGCAAAUGGUGGUAACAUAUACUAAAAUAUGGUAUAUGGUAUAUUCAUCUCAGCUUUCCCUUUUCCAGUGGGCCCUUUUACUUAGUUUUUUUUCCCCUUUCAACAAUAUUUCUGAUCUGGCCGCAUGCAAAAAUGUUAUUCUUCAUGUUAUUCUUACAUAACUCCCUUCAUGUAACAAGAGUCAGACCCCAUGUUUAUUGUGUUGUGUUCUAACGGGGUCUGUGGCUUGAGUAUGUCUGGUGCUUAGAUGCACCUGGUCUUCCUUCAAGAUAGUGCGGGUAGUUGCUAAGUUAUUGGACUCUUUUUGAGUGGUCAUGAGCUUAACAACGGUCUCCCAGACUCCCUCAAAAUUCCCUUUUGGGAGUUCCCAUCAUGGCGCAGUGGAAACAAAUCCGACUAAGAAUCAUGAGGUUGCAGGUUUGAUCCCUGGCCUUGCUCAGUGGGUUAAGGAUCUGGCGUGGCUGUGGCGUAGGCCAGCAACUACAGCUUAGAUUAGACCCCUAGCCUGAGAACCUCCAUAUGCUGCAGGUGUGGCCCUAGAAAAGACAAAAAGACAAAAAAAAAAAAAAAAAAAAAUCAGCAGCAAUGGAUGAGGAGUUUGCUUCAGGGGCAACGAAAUGUUCAGUAACCAGAUAGUGGUAAGGGUUGCACAACUCUGUACAUGUACUAAAUGCCACUGAAUUGCACAUUUUGUUUUAGAAAAAUGGUUAAACUGUAAAUUUUAUGUGUAUUUUACCACAAUUAAAAAAAAAUCCAUAGUAAGAAAACACUGAGGAAACCACAUGUUAAAAUAAUACUCUUUGAAAUCACUAAGUCAAAGGAGAAGGCAUAAUGGAACACAGAAAAUUGAGUGAUAAUAAAAAUACAAAGUAUUGAAAUUUAUGAAAUGAAGCUAAAACCAUGCUUAGAGAAGAGUGCAUAGCUUUAAACUCAUUUCUUACAAAGACUGGAAAAAAAAAA
rnacentral:lncRNA from 1 species